rnacentral:rRNA from 1 species
UACGUAGGGACCGAGCGUUGUCCGGAAUCAUUGGGCGUAAAGAGCGUGUAGGCGGCCGCUUAAGUCCUGCGUGAAAUCUCGGAGCUCAACUCCGAGCGGUCGUGGGAAACUGGGCGGCUAGAGUGCGGGAGAGGAGAGUGGAAUUCCUGGUGUAGCGGUGGAAUGCGCAGAUAUCAGGAAGAACACCCGUGGCGAAGGCGGCUCUCUGGAACGCAACUGACGCUGAGACGCGAAAGCGUGGGGAGCAAACAGG